CCCCUAGAACCUCUCAAGGAUUCAGGAGCUCAGAAACCAAAAGCAGUGGCUUGUUCCAUCCCCUGGUUUCCUAUUACCCAAUAUUCAGGACAUUGGGUGAUUUCCAAAGCUUGAGGCUAAGUAGAUAAUCCUGUAUGUCCCAAGAUGAGGAGUUCUCAGGGUGUGCUGUGACGAUGGGGACAAGGUAUCAAUGGGAACAUCCCAUGGAAUUUCCAUGAUUGCAACAGACUGUAGUUAUUUGGGGUUUAUCCAGUUUUGCUGCGACCACCUACUGACAAUGUAUCUGUCGGGAAGAAGAAAAAGCACGAAAUUCAAAUGUGCAAGAAGACAUACAAAAUAAACCCUGUGACAUUUUCUAACAUGUGAAUGUUCCCAAAUGCCAGACUAAAACAUCUCUCCAAUAGUUUCUUUUACAGACUUCCCUUGUUCCAGAAACUUGGCCUUACUUAGGAGGAAACCCCAUAACUGUCCCUUAGAAGUUGAAUUGCAUCAGUGUGGGUAAGAUGUUGGGCCAAAUUCCUUAAUGGUGCAAUUCCGUGAAAAUCAGAAAUCCUACACCAGGGCUGAAUCUGCCCUGUGGUAUAAAAAUUAUUUCCCCAGAGGCAAGAUUUUUGGAAACAGUAUCAUAUUUUAAUUCUAAGCAGACAAUUUGUUUUGGGUUGUAUACAGAGCAUGACUCUCUCUGCUAUAGGAACCAGCUACAUAUAUGGUGAUUUUAUUCCUGUUUCUCGUGCUGUUUGGCCUAUUUGUGUAUGAUUUGCAGGUGGCUACAUGAUCCUACAAACUUCUUUUUAUGUAAUGGAACGAGCCCCUGCUCCAUCUAAGAUUUAUAAAGAUUACAGUGCUGGCAUUAGAACAUCAUUUGUACUUUUUGCAACAAGUUUUGGAGAAAGGCUGUGUGUUGUUUAUAAUCUUGGAAGUACAGAUCCCAGUUAAUCUUACCCUUGGAGAACAGAGAGCUAUAUUUUUUACAAAUUAACAGAUCUUGACUGAUUGCCUCCAUGACUGUGUUCACUGGCUUUGGAAUUCAAAGGGCAAAAUAGGAUCUGCCUUUUGUAGGAGGUGCCAGGUGUGGAAUCAGGACACGCUGCCUGAAGGGGGUUUGAGCUGCCUUCAAUCCUCUCCACACUGACUGGAUUUGGCACCACUGUGUGAUAUAUCACCACUGUAACAAACUACUUCUCACAAGCUGGUCAAAUCCUGGAAAAAGUCUUGGAAGGAUGUUGCUGAAAGAAUAUUUAACCUCUGUUAUAGUUGUUUUUCCGGAGAUGUGAGGUAUUGUGAAACUCGAGGAGCUCGACGAGAUUUUCACAGCUUGGCUUGUGAAAUUCAUUUCCAGCUCGAGAGAUUGUGAUUUCAUGAUUUUGCACAUCUGGAUUGUGGCACAGAGCUGUGAUGGGAGAUGUGUGUGGCAAUCUUGCCUCUGUCUGCUCCUGGUCAGUGAGGAGUCCUGGCUGUGAGUUGUCACCUGCCUGCCCUCACCUGAGCCGUGUCUGAUCUACACAGGAAAGGCUGCACAGCUAGAGUUGGCUCAACAUCAGUGAGCUCAGGAAUUACUUCCAUAUAAAUGUUAACGAUAAUAUUAAUAUUUCUAAUAUUUAAGGAGUGUAAAGGCAUAGACAAAAAAGUUGCAGGAGUAUCUGUACUGUGUGUUCUGUGGAGCAAACAGAACAUUUUCACUUGCUGAAAACACUGUGUGCACAGACUGCUGAGCAUCCCCUCUGCCACACUGCACCACUGGGUUGCUUUUCUGGCCAGACAGUUUGGGGGGGGGGGGGUCUUCUCCUUAACUAAUCUGUGGAGAUCUGGCAGCCUUCCCAGAGGGGAACCAGUUGAUGAAAACAGGACUUUAGGCCAGCAUUUUUUCAGCAUUCACACCCCAGAAGGAGAAUUUACAAAGGUGGCAAGAGCCAUGCGCAUUUUCCCUUUGUGCAUCACUGUGUGACAGCAAAGUCAUCCCAUUUUCCCACCAGGAUCACAUGGUGUCACAAAACUUCACUUAUUCUUAUGGCAUUGGCAGUGUGGUUUUGGAAGAAAAAUCCCCGUGCUGUCUGGAAUGCUCAACUGUUGGGUACCAGAGUCGGAAAACAUCCUGCCUGCCGUGAACGUUAGGAAAACAGAGCAGCCCUGACUCGAGUGCCAAGUGGUUUUUUGGAAGGCUGACUCCCCUGAGAAUAAAGGAUAUUGGUGUCCAGCCAAGAGGGCAGGCAGGAACAGGCCGUGGGCAAGACACUGGAAUUUUGGAGCCUGAAAUACUGUAUGUUUGUUUGUAUCAGUUUCUGACUUUGGUAUUAAAAGGUGAGCUGCCCAAAUGGGUCACAAAUUGAUAAAAUCUGAAUUAUUUUUUUUCUAGCUAUAUUUAGAGCCGCGUAAAACAGGGAUUUCCCUUUUUGGCUGCUCAAGUAUCUGAGAGUAACUUAAUAUUUCUGUUAAAAACAGAAAAAGUCCCCUAAAGGAAAUUUCCUUUUUUUCCUAUGGUACACUCAAAAAUUCCUUCUUGUUGUUAUGAAAAAUUCAGUUGGUUUUUACUUCCCUAUUUCCCUGUUUGAAUGAAUAGUUCCAAUCUAA